rfam:Photobacterium profundum SS9
GGAGUUGGUCAGGCGAUCGCUGCUUCGUUGAUGUCCUUAGGGAGACUGACGGAGGGGAGGAAAGUCCGGGCUCCAAAGGGCAGGGUGCCAGAUAACGUCUGGGGGGCGCGAGCCCACGACAAGUGCAGCAGAGAGUAUACCGCCGAUGACUCGCUUGCGAGAACAGGUAAGGGUGAAAGGGUGCGGUAAGAGCGCACCGCGCGGCUAGUAAUAGUUCGUGGCAUGGUAAACUCCACCCGGAGCAAGACCAAAUAGGUCCCUAAUGGCGCGGCCCGCGUUGGGGACGGGUAGGUUGCUUGAGCCUGUGAGCGAUUGCAGGCCUAGAGGAAUGGUUGCCACUGCGAAAGCAGCUACAAAACCCGGCUUAUAGACCAACUCCACCU